UACGCUGAGCAAAGCAACUUGCCCACUGGAAGUAAUUCAGACAUGGGAAAUGAUAAAAUGUAUCAACUGAGAGCCAAAGAAGAUAAUGAAUAGAGAACAAGUAUACCCAGAACGACAUGAAAAGCUCAGUAAGAAGGCAGCAAAACUUAUUUUAAAAUCACAUAUUUAAAGUUUUCCACUGUAAAACCAAAGAGCAUCAAAGGAGAACAGCUUUCCCUCUCCCGGAAGCCUCACGGAGCGGAGUUCCCU
rnacentral:lncRNA from 1 species